rnacentral:tRNA from 1 species
GGUGUUGUGGCUCAGUGGCAGAGCACUUGCCUAGCAUGUGAGAAGCAUGAUCCUCAGCACCA